UGCUAUUGAUUGGCAAGUGGUAAAUGCUCAACAAGAUAGUACACCACAAAUGCAAUAAUUGGUCUUACAUUGUUCAAACAAACAUGACGAAUUUCCAACAGAAUUCGGGCAAUAGAGAUGACAAAAAGGGUUCUCUAAUACAAAAAAGAAAACAAUAAUUAACCGGCUUAUCUCCAUGCACUACUUUAUUGGACAAAAGGGCUAGUCGCAUAAGAGAACAUCUGAUAGUGCCUGCAUGCCAUCAAGGACUCUGUCAGCAAUGCAGAAUUACAACCGACGAGAUCUUCCUCAAGUUAUGAUCCAAACAAUGAGCAAGAACGAUACCAAGAAUCUGCUGUAGCGUCUGGCAAAUACCAAAUACAGAAUUCAUUUGAAUUCUGACAUUUCACAGGCGUGUGGCAUGUUGCUCCACGAGGAAGAAUUGAACAUGAUACCGUCGCCAAGAACAGGUCUGCAAUCGAUACUCAAGUCAUUGCCCAGAAGCAUUGCUAUGGCAUUGUUGAAAACUGAUGGAUCAGCUGUAUUCCCAGAAAACAAUGCAUCUGGCCUGAAGUUUUCAGGAUGAGGUGAAGUGUCCCCAGGUUCAUAUUUAGGCCCCAUUACUUGCUCUCCAGAUCCCAUUGAAGUGCUUUUCCAACCUGGGGAAACUUUGGAGAGCUGAAAGAUGUCAGGCGAUGCAGCGCUAACAGGAGGGGUGGAUUCAGUGAAUGAAUUGCCACUGAAAGGAGCACAGUCAUUGAGGAAUGGACCAGGAUGUUGUUCUUCCCAGUAUUCCUGACACAUAUCAAACUCUGGGCUAAGAACCGUAGUAUUACAUGGCGUACCGACAGAAGAACUAGAACUUAUCACAGAUGUCUGUUGGUUCUUCCCGGAUCUUAGGGUCUGAGCUUCAUGAAUCAACUCUUCCAAAAGGCCACUAUUCCUUGGCGACGCGCACUCUGAUUUCACUGAAGGGGUUGCUGCUGGAGACUGCAGGUAGGGAUCAACUAACUCAGUAGGCUGCAACGCAGGAGCUACAGUGUACUUGAGCCAGCUGUUUGGAUCAGAUUCAGUAUCUUGGAGUGAAGGGAGCUCCAUCUUCAAAGGACCACUUGUGGGCCUAGAAGCAGAGAAAUUGCCAUUUAAAAAGGCAUGGCUGCCAUUAAGUGCACCCCCGAAAGGUGCAAUAAUCUUGCUGGUAGAGUUGGCUUCAUGGAGAUAGUCAAAACCCACAGCCUGCUUGAGCUUCUCAGAGUCAUUUGAGAAUUGAUCCACCGAGGAAAUCACACCGUUGAUGGUAUCGCUCAAUCCAGGAAGCACACCAUCAGACUGUUUUAGCAUCCCUGUCUGGUUUACCUGAUCCAUGAAGCUACAGCUUUUUGAUGCAAAGCUCUGGCCAAGGAGAUUGCUUAUAGAAACGGCUGAAAGAUGUGGUGCAUAAGGUAAAGCCUCUGAAUUAGCAAUGAAAUUGUCACAGGUAAAAUCUGGUAGGUAAAGACCAUUUGCAUUCAGAAGAUCGUUUGACAAAUUCUCGCCACAGUCAAAAUCACUGGAGCACUGCUGAUCUUCAUUUGAGGAUUGAUUGCAUACGCUGGUAGGAUAGAUGGGUAGGCCAGCUCGCUGGCAUCUCUUUAUUCGAGUAUUCCAGUAAUUCUUUAUUUCAUUAUCAGUGCGCCCUGGCAACUGAGAAGAUCGGCCAUCCGAGCCCACUUGUUCCCCAUCUUGGAGUGGAGCUGGAUGAUGAGCCUCUCCUCCUCGGCGGUGAAGGCCCCCUUCUUGAGGUUGGGCCUCAGGUGGUUCGCCCACCGGAGGCGGCAGCUCUUGCCGCACCGGAACAGCCCGGUGUUCUUCUGCACCGCGUUCCAGUUCCCCUCGCCGUGCUUCUUCACGUAGUCCACCAGGAUGGCGUCCUCCGCCGACGUCCAUGGCCCCUUCUUCAGCGGGGGCCCGCCGCCGCGGUGCGGCGACCCCCCGCUGCUGCCGUCGUCGGCCACCGGCGAGUCCAUCUGCUCCUGAUGGAUCAUAUCGCAGUCGCUCUCGCUCUUCACCCGAUACAU
rnacentral:sRNA from 1 species